AAGAGAGGGUGGCUAGAAAAUAAGGAGUGUUCUAAAAGCUAUGAUGGAGAUGGUUGCAUAAGUCUGUGACUAUACUAAACAACACAAUGUAUAAGUUGGUCAAUUGUAUGAUAUACGAGUUAUAUUUUAACAAAGAUGUUUUUGAAAAGUAAUGGCAAAUUUCAGCAGUAUUGCUGCUAUAUUUACAGACUGCCUUCCUUCCAUUUAGAGGACAUCUUUUGAGUAGCAAGCUUUCUAACCAAAUAUUUGAGGUUAAUAUCCUCUUGCCCUUCCCCCUUAGAGAUGACUCAGAGGGAUGAAGGGAAUGCUUGUCAUGAUUCAGCUAGGUGGCCACAAUUAGAAACCAAGGAUCCUUUCCUCUUACCAGGCUUUUAUCAGUAUCAGCAAAGUGUCUUAUUUGCUUCUUGUGAAAUGGAUUUGACCUAUCGGGCAAAGGAAAAAGAGAGAGCGAAAAGUGCCCAGAAUCCAGUUCUUCAGGGACGCUGCAUUAGGCCCAAGGCAGAAAUGCAGGCGUGAGGGAAACACAGAAUUUGGAUAAGAAAGAGUCUGAAGCUCCUCCUCACUGGAAGCCAAAUGGCUCCAAUUUGACUCUCACCCUGGGAAGAAGACUUCUUUGCAGAAUACU